UACAGAGGGUGCGAGCGUUAUUCGGAAUUACUGGGCGUAAAGCGUGCGUAGACGGCUAUCUAAGUCGGGUGUGAAAGCCCCGGGCUCAACCUGGGAAUUGCAUUCGAGACUGAAUAGCUAGGGUACGGUAGAGGGAAGUGGAAUUUCCGGUGUAGCGGUGAAAUGCGUAGAUAUCGGAAGGAACAUCAGUGGCGAAAGCGACUUCCUGGACCAGUACCGACGUUCAGGCACGAAAGCGUGGGGAGCAAACAGG
rnacentral:rRNA from 1 species